GGACUACCCGGGUAUCUAAUCCUGUUUGCUCCCCUUGCUCUCGCGCCUCAGCGUCAGGUCUAAACUAGAAAGGCGCUUUCGCCACCGGUGUUCCUCCACGUAUCUACGCAUUUCACCGCUACUCGUGGAAUUCCCCUUUCUCCGUCAAUCCUCUAGAAAAACAGUUUCAAAUGCAGCACCAAAGUUGAGCUUUGGUAUUUCACAUCUGACUUAUCAAUCCGCCUACGCGCCCUUUACGCCCAAUAAUUCCGAUUAAUGCUUGCACCCUACGUAUUACCGCGGCUGCUGGCAC
rnacentral:rRNA from 1 species